rnacentral:rRNA from 1 species
GACGAACGCUGGCGGCGUGCUUAACACAUGCAAGUCGAACGGAAAGGCCCUGCUUGCAGGGUACUCGAGUGGCGAACGGGUGAGUAACACGUGGGUGAUCUGCCCUGCACUUCGGGAUAAGCCUGGGAAACUGGGUCUAAUACCGGAUAGGAGCCAUUUUUAGUGUGAUGGUUGGAAAGUUUUUUCGGUGUAGGAUGAGCUCGCGGCCUAUCAGCUUGUUGGUGGGGUAAUGGCCUACCAAGGCGGCGACGGGUAGCCGGCCUGAGAGGGUGGACGGCCACAUUGGGACUUAGUUGCGGCCCAGACUCCUACGGGAGGCAGCAGUGGGGAAUAUUGCACAAUGGGCGCAAGCCUGAUGCAGCGACGCCGCGUGGGGGAUGACGGCCUUCGGGUUGUAAACUCCUUUCGCUAGGGACGAAGCUUUUUGUGACGGUACCUAGAUAAGAAGCACCGGCUAACUACGUG